rnacentral:rRNA from 1 species
CAGGCCUAACACAUGCAAGUCGAACGGUGGCAGCAAUGUCAUAGUGGCGCACGGGUGCGUAACACGUAGCUAACCUACCCAGAACUGGGGGAUAGCCCGCCGAAAGGCGGAUUAACACCGCAUAACAUCUACUGGUGGCAUCACUAGUUGAUUAAAUCUACGGAGGUUCUGGAUGGGGCUGCGGGUCAUUAGCUAGUUGGUAAGGUAACGGCUUACCAAGGCGACGAUGACUAGGGGAGCUGAGAGGCUGGUCCCCCACACGGGCACUGAGAUACGGGCCCGACUCCUACGGGAGGCAGCAGUAGGGAAUAUUGGGCAAUGGGCGAGAGCCUGACCCAGCCAUGCCGCGUGCAGGAAGAAGGCUUUCUGAGUCGUAAACUGCUUUUGAUAGGGAAGAAUAAGCACUACGUGUAGUGUGAUGACGGUACCUACAGAAUAAGCACCGGCUAACUCCGUGCCAGCAGCCGCGGUAAU